rnacentral:rRNA from 1 species
AUUGAACGCUGGCGGCAGGCUUAACACAUGCAAGUCGAGCGGGGGAAGGUAGCUUGCUACCGGACCUAGCGGCGGACGGGUGAGUAAUGCUUAGGAAUCUGCCUAUUAGUGGGGGACAACAUCUCGAAAGGGAUGCUAAUACCGCAUACGUCCUACGGGAGAAAGCAGGGGAUCUUCGGACCUUGCGCUAAUAGAUGAGCCUAAGUCAGAUUAGCUGGUUGGUGGGGUGAAGGCCUACCAAGGCGACGAUCUGUAGCGGGUCUGGGAGGAUGGUCCGCCACACUGGGACGGAGACACGGCCCAGAGUCCUACGGGGGGCAGCAGUGGGGAAUAUUGGCCAAUGGGGGGAACCCUGCUCCAGCCAUGCCGCGUGUGUGAAGAAGGCCUUAUGGUUGUAAAGCACUUUAAGCGAGGAGGAGGCUACUUUAGUUAAUACCUAGAGAUAGUGGACGUUACUCGCAGAAUAAGCACCGGCUAACUCUGUGCCAGCCGCCGCAGUAA